UACGGAGGGUGCAAGCGUUAUCCGGAUUUACUGGGCUUAAAGGGUGCGUAGGCGGAUUUUUAAGUCAGUGGUGAAAGCUCCGAGCUUAACUCGGAAACUGCCAUUGAUACUAUUAGUCUUGAAUUCGGUUGAGGUUGGCGGAAUGUGUCGUGUAGCGGUGAAAUGCUUAGAUAUGACACAGAACACCGAUUGCGAAGGCAGCUAGCUAAGCCGACAUUGACGCUGAGGCACGAAAGCGUGGGGAUCAAACAGG
rnacentral:rRNA from 1 species